rnacentral:rRNA from 1 species
UGGGGAAUUUUGGACAAUGGGCGAAAGCCUGAUCCAGCAAUGCCGCGUGUGUGAAGAAGGCCUUCGGGUUGUAAAGCACUUUUGUCCGGAAAGAAAUCCUUGGCUCUAAUACAGUCGGGGGAUGACGGUACCGGAAGAAUAAGCACCGGCUAACUACGUGCCAGCAGCCGCGGUAAUACGUAGGGUGCAAGCGUUAAUCGGAAUUACUGGGCGUAAAGCGUGCGCAGGCGGUUUGCUAAGACCGAUGUGAAAUCCCCGGGCUCAACCUGGGAACUGCAUUGGUGACUGGCAGGCUAGAGUAUGGCAGAGGGGGGUAGAAUUCCACGUGUAGCAGUGAAAUGCGUAGAGAUGUGGAGGAAUACCGAUGGCGAAGGCAGCCCCCUGGGCCAAUACUGACGCUCAUGCACGAAAGCGUGGGGAGCAAACAGGAUUAGAUACCCUGGUAGUCCACGCCCUAAACGAUGUCAACUAGUUGUUGGGGAUUCAUUCCUUAGUAACGUAGCUAACGCGUGAAGUUGACCGCCUGGGGAGUAGGUCGCAAGAUUAAAACUUAAAUGAAUUGACGGGGUCAAGCUG